UAUAGUCCAGUGCCUAGUACUAAUGAAUAUAGAAAUAGGUGGAAAGAACAGAUUAGUGCAUGGUUGAGUGAAAUAAUAGUUAAAUAAUAGAAUGAGAUUUCAACCUCUCCAAUAUUAACCAGGAUAGACAGCUUGACAAGUAUGAAAAGCUUAGAUGGGGCAGAAUUCUUAAAAUGUGUCCAGGAUAGCUUUUUAAGAUGGCAUGUAAAAUGCUGGACAGGAAAGGAGGCAGAGCUACACCCAAUUUUAGGGGGAAAAAAGCCAGACGAGUAGUAGAUGUGGGGAAACAAUUCAGUGAUCAUGACCAUAAGUAAGGAUCAGCACAAAGAUGGACCAGAAAUAAAGGUUCUGAGUCGGGAAAACUAAUUUUAAAGUGAUAAGACAGGAUCUGACCAAAGCAGACUGAGACCAGCUACUUGCUAGAAAGUUCAUAUUAGACCAGUAGGAGUCUUUCAAAAGUGUGAUAGUGAGAAUGCAGGACUGUCUUGUUCCCGUAAAUGUGGAGGGUGGGAUCAACAAGUCCAGAGAAUCCUGGUUGUCAAGGGAAGUACAGAAUUGAGUAAAGAAAAUAAAGGGAAGCUUAUAGCAGAUACCAAAGGCUCAAAACAGCAGAUGCGUUAGAAAAGUAUAGAAAAUGCAGAGGGUUACUGAAGAAAUAAAUUAAGCGGAUGAAGAGGGAACAUAAAAAAUCACUUUCAGGGUUUCUUCAUGAACAUUGUUAUUUGAAGCUUCAGAGUUUGAUUUUGAAUCAACUGUCCAAUUUGCCUGUAGAACACACCAAUGGGAGUACAAUUUUGGGCCACCGUAAUGCCAACAGCGACACUUUGUGAAGUCCAAAAUUUGGGAAAUGAUGAGUGCAGGCUGGCAACACCCUAUAUCAUUGCUCUGGGGACUAUUUUUAUUAUGCACCAACCGGGUAAAAGAAAAUACAUCAGAUGGCUUGAGUAUUCCCACUAUUUUCUGAUAUAAACUGUAAAAUUGCAGUCGGUUAUGAGACUCAGCAGCAACAACUUUUUUAAAAUGACCUGGGUAUCACAGCAACAUCUUCAGUGUUUGUUUGACCUUGUCAAACAUUCAUUUAGUAACUUCUACUGGCAUUCCACCAUGCGAACUGUUUCUGAGGUCAACAUUCUCUAGAUAAUGUUAUUAUGUUAUCAAGGUUUAUUGUCUAUCAAUUCUGAAUAUCAUUAUUUGCACACUCCAUGGGAAUAUGUAAAUUUCAGACUACACGCGAAGUUACCUUGAAGGAAUAGUUUUCAUUUCAGUAAUUUAAAUGAGCACAACCAAAUUCCACUUUCUUGACCCAGCUGUUAUUAAAUCAACUCAUGAGGUCAUUGAUGGGCUUAUCCAUGAUUGUCUUGAUUUGAUCAAAAAUUAAGAUAUGCUCCAAUAUCAUGUCUCCAGCCAAUUGUAUCAGUUUGU